rnacentral:rRNA from 1 species
CAGUCGAACGAGAGAUGAGGAGCUUGCUCUUCAAUCGAGUGGCGAACGGGUGAGUAUCGCGUGAGGAACCUGCCUCAAAGAGGGGGACAACAGUUGGAAACGACUGCUAAUACCGCAUAAGCCCACGGCUCGGCAUCGAGCAGAGGGAAAAGGAGCAAUCCGCUUUGAGAUGGCCUCGCGUCCGAUUAGCUAGUUGGUGAGGUAACGGCCCACCAAGGCGGCGAUCGGUAGCCGGACUGAGAGGUUGAACGGCCACAUUGGGACUGAGACACGGCCCAGACUCCUACGGGAGGCAGCAGUGGGGAAUAUUGCACAAUGGGGGAAACCCUGAUGCAGCGACGCCGCGUGGAGGAAGAAGGUCUUCGGAUUGUAAACUCCUGUUGUUGAGGAAGAUAAUGACGGUACUCAACAAGGAAGUGACGGCUAACUACGUGCCAGCAGCCGCGGUAAAACGUAGGUCACAAGCGUUGUCCGGAAUUACUGGGUGUAAAGGGAGCGCAGGCGGGAGAACAAGUUGGAAGUGAAAUCCAUGGGCUCAACCCAUGAACUGCUUUCAAAACUGUUUUUCUUGAGUAGUGCAGAGGUAGGCGGAAUUCCCGGUGUAGCGGUGGAAUGCGUAGAUAUCGGGAGGAACACCAGUGGCGAAGGCGGCCUACUGGGCACCAACUGACGCUGAGGCUCGAAAGUGUGGGUAGCAAACAGGAUUAGAUACCCUGGUAGUCCACACCGUANACGAUGAUUACUAGGUGUUGGAGGANUGACCCCUUCAGUGCCGCAGUUAACACAAUAAGUAAUCCACCUGGGGAGUACGACCGCAAGGUUGAAACUCAAAGGAAUUGACGGGGGCCCGCACAAGCAGUG